UGGGGAAUAUUGCACAAUGGGCGCAAGCCUGAUGCAGCCAUGCCGCGUGUGUGAAGAAGGCCUUCGGGUUGUAAAGCACUUUCAGCGAGGAGGAAGGUGGUGAACUUAAUACGUUCAUCAAUUGACGUUACUCGCAGAAGAAGCACCGGCUAACUCCGUGCCAGCAGCCGCGGUAAUACGGAGGGUGCAAGCGUUAAUCGGAAUUACUGGGCGUAAAGCGCACGCAGGCGGUUUGUUAAGUCAGAUGUGAAAUCCCCGGGCUCAACCUGGGAACUGCAUUUGAAACUGGCAAGCUAGAGUCUCGUAGAGGGGGGUAGAAUUCCAGGUGUAGCGGUGAAAUGCGUAGAGAUCUGGAGGAAUACCGGUGGCGAAGGCGGCCCCCUGGACGAAGACUGACGCUCAGGUGCGAAAGCGUGGGGAGCAAACAGGAUUAGAUACCCCUGGUAGUCCACGCUGUAAACGAUGUCGAUUUGGAGGUUGUGCCCUUGAGGCGUGGNUUCCGGAGCUAACGCGUUAAAGUCGACCGCCUGGGGGAGUACGGCC
rnacentral:rRNA from 1 species